CGAACGGGUGAGUAACGCGUGAGGAACCUGCCUCAAAGAGGGGGACAACAGUUGGAAACGACUGCUAAUACCGCAUAAGCCCACGGUGCCGCAUGGCACAGAGGGAAAAGGAGCAAUCCGCUUUGAGAUGGCCUCGCGUCCGAUUAGCUAGUUGGUGAGGUAACGGCCCACCAAGGCAACGAUCGGUAGCCGGGCUGAGAGGUUGAACGGCCACAUUGGGACUGAGACACGGCCCAGACUCCUACGGGAGGCAGCAUG
rnacentral:rRNA from 1 species